rnacentral:rRNA from 1 species
GGACCUGACUGCUAUCGGAUUGAUACUAAGCCAUGCGAGUCAUUGUAGCAAUACAAGGCAUACGGCUCAGUAACGCGUAGUCAACCUAACCUAUGGACGGGAAUAACCUCGGGAAACUGAGAAUAAUGCCCGAUAGAACAUUAUGCCUGGAAUGGUUUAUGUUCCAAAUGAUUUAUCGCCGUAGGAUGGGGCUGCGGCCUAUCAGUUUGUUGGUGAGGUAAUGGCCCACCAAGACUAUUACAGGUACGGGCUCUGAGAGGAGUAGCCCGGAGAUGGGUACUGAGACACGGACCCAGGCCCUAUGGGGCGCAGCAGGCGAGAAAACUUUGCAAUGUGCGAAAGCACGACAAGGUUAAUCCGAGUGGUUUCUGCUAAAGAAACCUUUUGUCAGUCCUAGAAACACUGAUGAAUAAGGGGUGGGCAAGUUCUGGUGU